rnacentral:rRNA from 1 species
CAGUCGCCGCGGGAAUACAGAGGGUGCAAGCGUUACUCGGAAUUACUGGGCGUAAAGCGUGCGUAGGUGGUUGUUUAAGUCUGCUGUGAAAGCCCUGGGCUCAACCUGGGAAUUGCAGUGGAUACUGGGCAACUAGAGUAAGGUAGAGGAUAGUGGAAUUUCCGGUGUAGCAGUGAAAUGCGUAGAGAUCGGAAGGAACAUCUGUGGCGAAGGCGACUAUCUGGGCCAACACUGACACUGAGGCACGAAAGCGUGGGGAGCAAACAGGAUUAGAUACCCCUGUAGUCCCUGUCUCUUAUAC